rnacentral:rRNA from 1 species
UACGGAGGGGGCGAGCGUUAUUCGGAAUUAUUGGGCGUAAAGGGCGCGUAGGCGGCUUGGCAGUCAAAGGUGAAAUCCCUCGGCUCAACUGAGGAACUGCCUUUGAAACUGCCUGGCUUGAGGCCGGGAGGGGGUAGCGGAAUUCCCAGUGUAGCGGUGAAAUGCGUAGAUAUUGGGAGGAACACCAGUGGCGAAGGCGGCUACCUGGACCGGUUCUGACGCUGAUGCGCGAAAGCGUGGGGAGCAAACAGG